rnacentral:rRNA from 1 species
AGGGAAUCUUCGGCAAUGGGGGCAACCCUGACCGAGCAACGCCGCGUGAGUGAAGAAGGUUUUCGGAUCGUAAAGCUCUGUUGUAAGUCAAGAACGGGUGUAGAGUGGAAAGUUCACACUGUGACGGUAGCUUACCAGAAAGGGACGGCUAACUACGUGCCAGCAGCCGCGGUAAUACGUAGGUCCCGAGCGUUGUCCGGAUUUAUUGGGCGUAAAGCGAGCGCAGGCGGUUUGAUAAGUCUGAAGUUAAAGGCUGUGGCUCAACCAUAGUUCGCUUUGGAAACUGUCAAACUUGAGUGCAGAAGGGGAGGGUGGAAUUCCAUGUGUAGCGGUGAAAUGCGUAGAUAUAUGGAGGAACACCGGUGGCGAAAGCGGCUCUCUGGUCUGUAACUGACGCUGAGGCUCGAAAGCGUGGGGAGCGAACAGGAUUGGAUACCCUGGUAGUCCACGCCGUAAACGAUGAGUGCUAGGUGUUGGAUCCUUUCCGGGAUUCAGUGCCGCAGCUAACGCAUUAAGCACUCCGCCUGGG